CAGGGGGAGAAAUGCAGCCUCAGCAUUACUGACCCGAGUCUGGGUCUGCGUGGGCAGCUCGCCGAGCGGACGGGGAAGGAGCGCCAGCCUUUCCCACAUCCCCUUUGCGACCGGGAUUUCUAUGUGCAACUUUGUUGGAAGAAGUAGUCUCCUGCUUUUUAAGAGAUGAAGGAUACCGAUAAGACACAAAGCAAUGAAGACUUGUCCCAACUGGAGCACUGGAUUCCCAAGGUUUUGCCCCAAGAUGACCCCCUCAGUCUCUGGCCGUGGGUGUGUUCAGGUCUUGGAGCUGCAGCCCACCCCUCCUUAGCCCAAACUCACUAGUGAGGAGAGGAACCCCAAACCAGAGGAAAACAGUGAUCAGGGCAUUAAAAAAUAAAUAAAAGGAAAGCAUUAUGCACGCAGCCCUUGGCAAGCAAACUUCCCACCCUUCGGAGAACCACGUCGCCCCGCCUUAGCCCAGGCCGGCAGGGCAGCCAGCUCCUGCUAAGACAGUCCCGGUCCAAGGGUCAAGUCUCGCUCGCCAGGUGCCACGAUGCGGGAACAGCCUGCUCCGAGGAUAUGGACCUGGGAUGGAAACGGGAGACCCAGAGCGGCCGCGGGGGCACGGGCUGUGCCUGGCAUGCUGGGCAGGCCUUCAGAGGGCUGAGCAAGACCGACGAGGAUGCGGGAGCUUCAGGGAAAGGAGCUCCUCCAGAAAUCGAAGUGGAUUUGAGGCCGAAGGCGAUCUUGCUGCCUGCUCCUGCCGCGGGAAGUCUUGUUGCCCGUCCACGGGGUCGUGACUGUGAUUCACGUUCCUGCUUUGCCAGGGAUUUUUCCUUUCCUCCGUUGUGUCCUGGCUCUGACUUCUUCACCCUGUGGAUUCCCACGCGGGGCUCAAUGGGACUGAAUUAGCCGCCCCGGAGGCACUCGCUGAUGGGCCUUUAGACUUGGAAAUUCUCCUCUUGGCCGGGUGACUUUCAGGCCGGAUGCUUCGGGGCAAAUAGCUUAGUGGUUUGGGGUCAUGCAGUAGCUUGAUUUUUUUUUUUUUUUUUUUAAUUAUUAUUAUUAUUAUUACUAUCCUGCUCUCUAAAGGGCCAAGUGUUUUCCUGUUUCCACGGAGGUGGCGCUGGAAUUUUUUCUUACGUCUUCGGGUCUCGGUCCUGGAAGCGUGGAUGGUUUGACUAGGCAAGGAAAGCAUGUUGCUCAUAUGCUGCAGCCUCUUGCAGCGGGAAUAAUAAAAGCAAAGCCACGCGGUUUUUCGUUCUUCUCUUUUUUUCGGAGCAGAGUGCCACGAGGAUCACACCGGGGUUUGAACAGUUUGGUGACGUGGUCUCGCGAGUCUGACGCUGCGAGGUGAGCAGCUGUGGGAGGUCCCAGAUGCUCCGGUGCUUCAAGCCCAGGAGAGGCCAUCGAUCCCAGGAGGAUCCACCGCGUUUCUAUAGGUGCUGCUCCAUUUGGAGAAUAUAUGAAGCUCGGCGUGUGGCCCGGUGAAGCAACACCUUGGACCCACAACCACAGCUGCAGGGACAUCAAGGUGACAGUGAUGGCUUCACCCACAGAAACACUUCUUAAUAAAUCCAUUUCCUGCCUUGUUCAUGCCCGGUCUUUUCCAUUUGCUUUAUCACGGAGACCUCCACGCUGAGGCCCUGGAGUGCAUGAGGCUGACUAUAAAGGCUGUGCUUGGACAACCUUGGCCCAAACCAAGCAAAACUGCAUAUGUACCAGCCUGGCUGGGCCAAAACAGGCUUCCCUGUCCCAUCUCUUACCUGUGACUUUAAGCACCCCUAAUGGCCAUUACAAUUUUAACUCCCCCCUCCUUCAAGUGCCUGUUUUUUUCCUCCAGCUCUACAUGUGUUUCCUACCCUAUAGUGUCCAUGCAAAAGGCAAGGAGUUACCAUGUACGUAUACAAUAAAAGGGAGAUCCUAAAUGAUGAAGGUUUUACAUAUUCUUUUUUAAAAUGGUUUGAGAUCUUGUGCCUUCUUCAGUUCUUUUUAAACGUAGACUAUAUUGUGACCAAAGACAAAGUAGAAUAAAGAGAAGCAAAGCCUCGUAUAAGGGUAUUGGCAGUGUACAACCACGAUGUGUCUUCUCAAAGGUUGAUAUUGGAGCUUGGGCACCCAUUUUAAUGGUUUAACUUUGUUCGGCUUCCUGCAUGCCUUUGAUUUAGUGUCUUUGUCCUCUUGAAUAUGCGAUUAAAACUUUCAGAUACCU